rnacentral:rRNA from 1 species
UACGUAGGGGGCAAGCGUUGUCCGGAUUUAUUGGGCGUAAAGAGCGUGUAGGCGGCCUGAAAGGUCAGCUGUGAAAACUCGAGGCUCAACCUCGAGACGUCGGUUGAAACCAUCUGGCUAGAGUCCGGAAGAGGCGAGUGGAAUUCCUGGUGUAGCGGUGAAAUGCGCAGAUAUCAGGAGGAACACCAAUGGCGAAGGCAGCUCGCUGGGACGUGACUGACGCUGAGACGCGAAAGCGUGGGGAGCAAACAGG